rnacentral:rRNA from 1 species
CCUACGGGGGGCAGCAGUGGGGGAUAUUGCACAAUGGGGGGAACCCUGAUGCAGCGACGCCGCGUGGGUGAAGGAGGGUUUCGGCGUGUAAAGCCCUAUCGGCAGGGAAGAAGAUGACGGUACCUGACCAAGAAGCCCCGGCUAAAUACGUGCCAGCAGCCGCGGUAACACGUAGGGGGCCAGCGUUAUCCGGAUUUACUGGGUGUAAAGGGGGCGCAGACGGCAAUGCAAGCCAGGAGUGAAAGCCCGGGGCCCAACCCCGGGACUGCUCUUGAAACUGGAUGGCUGGAGUACAGGAGGGGCAGGCGGAAUGCGUGGUGUAGCGGUGAAAUGCGUAGAUAUUAGGAAGAACACCGGUGGCGAAGGCAGCCUGCUGGACUGUGACUGACGUUGAGGCCCGAAGGCGUGGGGAGCAAACAGGAUUAGAUACCCGAGUAGUC